rnacentral:rRNA from 1 species
GAUGAACGCUGGCGGCGUGCCUAAUACAUGCAAGUAGAACGCUGAAGGAGGAGCUUGCUCUUCUGGAUGAGUUGCGAACGGGUGAGUAGCGCGUAGGUAACCUGCCUGGUAGCGGGGGAUAACUAUUGGAAACGAUAGCUAAUACCGCAUGACAACAGUUAUUGCAUGAUAACUGUUUAAAAGGGGCAACUGCUCCACUACCAGAUGGACCUGCGUUGUAUUAGCUAGUUGGUGAGGUAACGGCUCACCAAGGCGACGAUACAUAGCCGACCUGAGAGGGUGAUCGGCCACACUGGGACUGAGACACGGCCCAGACUCCUACGGGAGGCAGCAGUAGGGAAUCUUCGGCAAUGGACGGAAGUCUGACCGAGCAACGCCGCGUGAGUGAAGAAGGUUUUCGGAUCGUAAAGCUCUGUUGUAAGAGAAGAACGAGUGUGAGAGUGGAAAGUUCACACUGUGACGGUAUCUUACCAGAAAGGGACGGCUAACUACGUG